rnacentral:rRNA from 1 species
CCCGCUGAACUUAAGCAUAUCAAUAAGCGGAGGAAAAGAAACUAACAAGGAUUCCCCUAGUAACGGCGAGUGAAGCGGGAAGAGCUCAAAUUUAAAAUCUGGCGGUGAAUUCCGUCCGAGUUGUAGUCUAGAGAAGCGUCAUCCGCGCUGGACCAUGUACAAGUCUCUUGGAACAGAGCGUCAUAGAGGGUGAGAAUCCCGUCCUUGACAUGGACCACCAGUGCUUUGUGUUGUGCUCUCGACGAGUCGAGUUGUUUGGGAAUGCAGCUCAAAAUGGGGUGGUAAAUCCAUCUAANGCUAAAUAUGGNCGAGAGACCGAUAGCGAACAAGUACCGUGAGGAAAAGAUGAAAAGCACUUUGGAGNAGAGAGUAAANCAGUACGUAAAAUGUUGAAANNUGGAAACGCUUGAAGUCAGUCGCGUUCUCUGGGAUUCAGCCUUGCUUUUGCUUGGUGCAUUUCCUAGUCUACGGGCCAGCGUGGAUUCGGCCCGGUGGAAAAAGGCUUGGGGAAUGUGGCACCUCCGGGUGUGUUAUAGCCCUCUGUCGGAUGCAAGGGUUGGGAUUGAGGAACUCAGCAUGCACCUUGUCGGUGUCGGGGCCUUGGCCCACGUUUACAUGCUUAGGAUGCUGGCAUAAUGGCUUUAAACGACCCGUCUUGAAACACGG